rfam:Oryza barthii chromosome 3, whole genome shotgun sequence.
CAAAAGACAAACCCUAGAUUUCAGUGUCCAACGUUUGACUGUCCGUCUUAUGAUAAAUUUUUUUAUAAUUAGUAUUUUCAUUGUUGUUAGAUGAUAAAACAUGAUUAAUACUUUAUACGUGACUUGUCUUUUUAAUUUUUUUUCAUAUUUUUUAAAUAAGACGAACGAUCAAAUGUUGGAUACGGAAACCCAGGGUUUAUCUUUUU